rnacentral:lncRNA from 1 species
CGGACGGAGGCGGAGAGGAAGACGACGGGACUGGCGUCGCUGCUCCUGAGACUCGAGUUUCGAGAACGGCGCAGAGAACCGUCGAGGAGAGCAACGUGCGUUUCCCCAGCAUCCGCUCUCCUCCCCAGAACAGCGUCGCGGUCUGUCGGAGGCUGGGCGGCCUUCCAAAGCAGAUGCCUGCCCACCGACGACGCCGGAGCACUGAAGUUCACGGCAGAAGGACACUGACCGCAGGGGUGUUUUGAACUAAGCACGCCACUUUCUCCAGCCUCUGGGGCUGAGAGUUUCCUGGCAGGGCCAGCGGCCACCUCGCCUGUAACAGAGGCUGCCAGUGCCCUGCCCUCAUGCCCUCACUCUGCCUGAACAUCCAACAGCUUCCCCUGGCAAGCUCGGGGCCCUGCCCUAGGGCACCCUGGCCACAGCCCUCCUCUCUGGGCUCAUAUCAGGCCACCUCUUCCUAUUGCUAAAUGGUCACUCUGGGAACUCGUUUGAAACUGCGUUUGCUCAGUCUCCUUACCAACCCGGGAGGCCAGCUGGAGGAUCCCCGCUUUCCGGCUGGGGCAGCGGAAAGCUCAAGGAGGUGACUUGGCCAGGGUCACAGGGCCAGGAAACGACAGAGCUGAGGUGUCCACACAGCUCUCGCGGCUGCAGGCUCGGUGCUCCAGCCCUCUGCCCAAGCCCCAGAGGGCACCGGCCCCCAGAACCUCCUCACCGUGACCUACGGUGCACAGCAGCCACCGAGUCAGGAGAGGAGCUCUUAUCUGUGUUUGUCCUGCAGAGGAGCUGCCUUAUCCUCGGGCAUUGGCUGUAACAUCGGAGUAGACACAACAGACUUUUAAUAACUCCGUGCAACUCUAAACCAGAAGCGUAUUUUUACUCCUGUGAGUCAGCCAUUUAUUUGUCAACCAAGGCCAGGAAAGGAAAGGGCCCAGGGGCCAUUCAUAAACAGACUGCAGCCCCCGGAGACAUCCCGGGGGAAGCCAAGCUGUCUAGAAAUGCUCUGGUCUCUGAAAACCAUUCCACGGGAACAGACCAGCGCCAGGAGCUGUCUGGGAAACGGCUGGCGGGGGUGGCAGAGGCGGAGGUGUGCGGAGGGGCACCACAAAAGGCCGGCACACGUGCCACAGGCAGACCCAGCUUCACGUAGGAACCGCAGGGCAGAGCUCCGCCAGGCCUCAGCGUCACGCACGGUGAAGCAGGCAAGAUGAUGCCAGCCUUUCGGGGAUUCAUGGAGAAUAGAGGUCAGGUCCAUAGGGGCAGGGCUCGAAUGUCACCUUUGACGGUGACCGGGGGGCUGGAGGGGACUUGAUGAUGCCAUGACAGGACAGGGGUUUGAUCAGUAUUCAUCCUUCAGAAAUGAACUGCAGUGGCUGAACACUGCCUGGUGCCAGCUGCUCAUCACAUGUUGAAAGCAUGUGUCAGUGCAGCCCCCACGAAAGAGUGAGAAAUGGAGAAACAGAAGUUCUGUCCCCCUGGAGCUGCCUAGCAGGACAAGGCUCAAGGGCAUAUAGCCUGUGACCAGCAUCUCCUCUUCUGGGUGUAGCCCCAACCAAAGGGGGGCCGUGUUCUACAAGGAGGGCUGGGCAGGGACCUCACAGCAGUGCUGCUGCUUAUAGCCAAGAUCUGCGAACAGCCCGAGCUCCCAGCAGCAAUGGAACGAAGAGAUCGUGCUUUGUCUGUACAGGGGACUAUUACACGGCAGUGAAAACGGACCAACCCCUGCCACCCACUACCACAGCUGAGUCAUAAGACAGAGGAAAAGAAGGCAGACACUCGGGUACGCAUGCGAAUCCAUUUACAUGACAAAGGAGGACAGAUAAAACUAAUGUUUGAUGAGAGAAGUCGUAAGGGCGGUUACCCCUAGGGCGGGGUGUUGACCGACAGAGCGUACAGGGGAACUAUCUGGGUGACAGAAAUCUUCUAAGCAUAAAACGAGAGGUGGUCGAAAAAAUUAUUGGAUGCUGCACCUGUAUACUUUUUAAAGAGCAAGAUAUGCUCACAGAAAUAUCAAGACGGGAAACUCUCUAAGAGACCACCUUGUGAUGCCAACUCCAGAGUCCACAAAGGCCAGGAAGAUAAGGAGCUGCCAACGUCGGCCGGGGUGAGGCAGCAGACCCCAGGCUGCUCAGAUGGCUGCCCAGGAUAAGAUCGGUGAGAUACAGUUUGUUUUAAAAUGUUGCUGAACCAAAGAAAAUAGUCAAGGGUCUCGUGCCCCCGGCCAUUGGCUGCAAGUCUGAAGCCUCUGUGUGCAAUUCUUUGUUCCCCAGUUGGCAGCCCCUGGGCCCAGAGACACCCCUGGCACAGCUGAGUGACAGAAGAAGAGCAGGAGAUGGAUUCGAGCGUGAGCCUCUCUCCGACACCGUAAGACAGGCAGCUGCUGCAG